GGAUCAUUAAAGAGUUUAAUAAAACUCCUAAACCCCUGUGAACUUACUGGUGUUUGGCUCGCCAGAUAUAGUCUGGUCCGUAAGCAAAUCGACUGCCUGCCUGUGUAACAGGCAGGUAAGCUUUUGUCGCGGGGUCCCGGAUCAACCCGGGCUAGAUAGCCACUUAACUAUAUACUUUUUAUAAAAUCUGUGAACUUACUAGGUUGGAUUCUCGCCAGAGAUAGUCUGGUUUCUGCUUCGCGGAUCGCCUACCCGUGACACCUGUCACAGGCAGGUAUGCUUCUGCCGCGGGUCCGUAAGUAAAUCAUCUGUUUCGCAAGGGACGGCGAUUUACCUGUGGAAGAGGUCCUCUAACUAUAUUCUUAGUAUAGUUUGUUCACUAGAUCAAACAUUCUGAAUAAAAACUUAAACUAGUUAAAACUUUCAACAACGGAUCUCUUGGUUCUGGCAUCGAUGAAGAACGCAGCGAAAUGCGAUAAGUAAUGUGAAUUGCAGAAUUCAGUGAAUCAUCGAAUCUUUGAACGCACAUUGCGCCCAUUAGUAUUCUAGUGGGCAUGCCUGUUCGAGCGUCAUUUCAACCCUUAAGCCCCUGUUGCUUAGCGUUGGGAGCCUACAGCCUGCUGUAGCUCCUUAAAGGUAGUGGCGGAGUCGGUUCACACUCUAGACGUAGUAAAAUCUUUAUCUCGCCUAUGGAUGAGCCGGCGCCUUGCCGUAAAACCCCUAAUCUUUCACAAGGUUGACCUCGGAUCAGGUAGGAAUACCCGCUGAACUUAAGCAUAUCAAUAAGCGGAGGAAAAGAAACCAACAGGGAUUGCCCUAGUAACGGCGAGUGAAGCGGCAACAGCUCAAAUUUGAAAUCUGGCCUUCGGGUCCGAGUUGUAAUUUGCAGAGGAUGCUUUGGGCGCGGUGCCUUCCGAGUUCCCUGGAACGGGACGCCUUAGAGGGUGAGAGCCCCGUACGGUUGGACACCAAGCCUCUGUAAAGCUCCUUCGACGAGUCGAGUAGUUUGGGAAUGCUGCUCUAAAUGGGAGGUAAAUUUCUUCUAAAGCUAAAUAUUGGCCAGAGACCGAUAGCGCACAAGUAGAGUGAUCGAAAGAUGAAAAGCACUUUGAAAAGAGGGUUAAAUAGCACGUGAAAUUGUUGAAAGGGAAGCGUUUACGACCAGACCUUUUCGCAGCGGAUCAUCCGGUGUUCUCACCGGUGCACUUCGCUGGGUUGAGGCCAGCAUCGGUUUCCGCAGGGGGAUAAAAGCCUGGGGAACGUAGCUCCCUCGGGAGUGUUAUAGCCCCUCGCAUAAUACCCUUGCGGGGACCGAGGACCGCG
rnacentral:rRNA from 1 species